GACGUGACUUCAGAGUUUGAUCCUGGCUCAGGAUGAACGCUGGCGGCGUGCUUAACACAUGCAAGUCGAACGAAGCACUUAUGAAAGAUUCUUCGGAUGAUGGAUUAAGUGACUGAGUGGCGGACGGGUGAGUAACGCGUGGGUAACCUGCCUCAUACAGGGGGAUAACAGUUAGAAAUGACUGCUAAUACCGCAUAAGCGCACAGUAUCGCAUGAUACCGUGUGAAAAACUCCGGUGGUAUGAGAUGGACCCGCGUCUGAUUAGCUAGUUGGUGAGGUAACGGCUCACCAAGGCGACGAUCAGUAGCCGGCCUGAGAGGGUGAACGGCCACAUUGGGACUGAGACACGGCCCAA
rnacentral:rRNA from 1 species